UACAGGGGGUGCAAACGUUGCUCGGAAUUAUUGGGCGUAAAGCGCGCGUAGGCGGCCACUUAAGUCGGAUGUGAAAACCACGGGCUUAACUCGUGGCCUGCAGUUGAGACUGUCUGGCUUGAGUGUGGGAGAGGAGAGUGGAAUUCCUGGUGUAGCGGUGAAAUGCGUAGAUAUCAGGAGGAACACCGGUGGCGAAGGCGGCCCUCUGGACCACAACUGACGCUGAGGCGCGAAAGCUAGGGGAGCAAACAGG
rnacentral:rRNA from 1 species